CUCUCCCCCUCUUCAUCCUCUCUCCCUCUCUUCAUCCUCUCUCUCUCUCUUCAUCCUCUCUCCCUCUCUUCAUCCUCUCUGUCUCUUCAUCCUCUCUCCCUCUCCUCCUCUCCUCCCUUGCUGGUCACAGGUCAUAUCUACCUUUACCUCAGAGCUCUCCAGCACUUAGAACUAGGACAAUUAGGGACUUCAAUGCUGGUUCAGUGUAGCAACCUCGUGAAACAACUCCAAAGUCUUGGCAUGGCCCCUCCUUUGUCCUUGUGUGGAUGAAUUAAGGAGUGAGAUGUCAUUACUUAUAAAGCGAAUUGCUCUUGGAAACCUAAAAAUGUAAUCAACUGUCUUUGCCAUUCCUGAAAACUCUGCUGCUCGUGGUCUGUCAAAAACCUUGCUGUCUGUGAGUUAGUUUUCUGCCUCUCUGCUUUAGGCUGUCUGUCUGUGAGUUAGUUUUCUGUCUCUCUCUCUCUCUCUCUAUCUCUCUCUCUCUCUCUCCCUUUCUCUCUCUCUCUCUCUCUCUCUCUCUCUCUCUCAACAAAACACAAACUCGCUGUAAUGAACCUGCCUGUGGCCAUUCCUCCAUGUGACAUGCUGAAGAUAGAGAGCAGAGAAGGAGAGACAUCCUUGUCUCAGGGUCUUUCCUAGGUGUGUGACAUGGUUAAAAAAGAGAGGUGGAUAGGCUGAAUCUGGGUCGUGUUCAUUAGGGCACACCGUAGCAAAACUUCUUUUUUUUAAUUUUUUUUACUUUCUUGCAACAGAGGUGGAUGGGCUGAAUCUGGGUCGUGUUCAUUUGGCCACAAAGUAGCCAAAUGUUUCUGUUACAAACUACCAGAUACUGGGGUAGCUGUAUGAGUCCACUGUCAAAUGUGACACAUCCUCUUUCUUUUCUUCUUCUUGUUUUUUUCUCUCUCUCCAUCGUUACCCAGAUUCAGAAUUUGGAGGCAAAAGCUAUUUUUUUUUAUUAUCUUGAGCUCUUAAAAUACCAGAAUUGUAUAAAAAAAAUAUAUAUAGAUGAGUAUUUAUACCAAAAGUAUAUUAUGUAAAGGAAAGGGUCCCCUGAGGAGGAGGUCUGAUGGAGGCCUGGCGCAUGCUCUGCAGAUUGUAGGUAGUAGGCCUAGCUAGCCAGGUUGAGCUAGCCUAGCGUUCCGUUGGCUAGCCAGGUUUAGCUAGCCAGGUUUAGCUAGCCUAGCGUCCCGUUGGCUAGCCAAGUUUAGCUAGCCUAGGUUUACUAGCCUAGCGUCCCGUUGGCUAGCCAGGUUUAGCUAGCCUAGCGUCCCGUUGGCUAGCCAGGUUUAGCUAGCCUAGCGUCCCGUUGGCUAGCCUAGCGUCCCGUUGGCUAGCCAGGUUUAGCUAGCCUAGCGUUCCGUUGGCUAGCCAGCUUUAGCUAGCCUAGCGUCCCGUUGGCUAGCCAGGUUUAACUAGCCUAGCGUUCCGUUGGCUAGUCAGCUUUAGCUAGCCUAGCGUCCCGUUGGCUAGCCAGGUUUAGCUAGCCUAGCGUUCCGUUGGCUAGCCAGGUUUAGCUAGCCUAGCGUUCCAUUGGCUAGCCAGGUUUAGCUAGCCUAGCGUCCCGUUGGCUAGCCAGGUUUAGCUAGCCUAGCGUCCCGUUGGCUGGACAGGUUUAGCUAGCCUAGCGUCCCGUUGGCUAGCCAGGUUUAGCUAGAUAGCUAGCCUAGCGUUCCGUUGGCUAGCCAGCUUUAGCUAGCCUAGCGUCCCGUUGGCUAGCCAGGUUGGCCAGCCAGGUUGGCUAGCCAGGUUGGCUAGCCAAGUUGGCUAGAGGCUGUGUGUACAUUACAUUCAUAGGGCCAGUGAAUAGAAUGCAUAUUUUGUUUUUAUAUCAGAGUGUUAAAUCCGUGUAAUAUGUAAUAAACAACUUUACCAAAUGA